UCCCUCUUUGAAAUUAAAGACUCAAUGUGAAAAAUAUUUAGAGAACAACCAAGAUUACAAGAAAAAGGAGGAUGCAAUGGUCAUUCGUGACUUAGAUGAUGAAGAUAUCUAUGUAGUAACCAAUAAUGCUAGUGUUAAGCAUGAUGAUUGGGUUAUUGAUUCCGCUAGUUCCUACCACAUCACUCUUAAUAGGGAUUGCUUCUCCACUUAUAAACCCUGUGAGGAG
rnacentral:lncRNA from 1 species